rnacentral:rRNA from 1 species
UAAGGAAUAUUGGACAAUGGGCGCAAGCCUGAUCCAGCCAUGCCGCGUGCAGGAUGAAGGAGCUCAGCUCUGUAAACUGCUUUUGUUUGGGAAAAAACCCCUGGUUUCUACCGGGGCUGAUUGUACCAAAAGAAUAAGGGACGGCUAACUUCGUGCCAGCAGCCGCGGUAAUACGAAGGUCCCAAGCGUUAUCCGGAUUUAUUGGGUUUAAAGGGUGCGUAGGCGGGCUAUUAAGUCAGUGGUGAAAGCCUCAAGCUUAACUUGAGAAUUGCCAUUGAUACUGAUGACCUUGAGUACAUUUGAAGUGGGCGGAAUGUGUCAUGUAGCGGUGAAAUGCUUAGAUAUGACACAGAACACCGAUUGCGUAGGCAGCUCACUAAACUGUAACUGACGCUGAGGCACGAAAGCGUGGGGAGCAAACAGGAUUAGAUACCCCCGUAGUCC